rnacentral:rRNA from 1 species
AGAGUUUGAUCCUGGCUCAGAUUGAACGCUGGCGGCAGGCCUAACACAUGCAAGUCGAACGGUAACAUUUCUAGCUUGCUAGAAGAUGACGAGUGGCGGACGGGUGAGUAAUGCUUGGGAACUUGCCUUUGCGAGGGGGAUAACAGUUGGAAACGACUGCUAAUACCGCAUAAUGUCUUCGGACCAAACGGGGCUUCGGCUCCGGCGCAAAGAGAGGCCCAAGUGAGAUUAGCUAGUUGGUAAGGUAACGGCUUACCAAGGCGACGAUCUCUAGCUGUUCUGAGAGGAAGAUCAGCCACACUGGGACUGAGACACGGCCCAGACUCCCACGGGAGGCAGCAGUGGGGAAUAUUGCACAAUGGGGGAAACCCUGAUGCAGCCAUGCCGCGUGUGUGAAGAAGGCCUUCGGGUUGUAAAGCACUUUCAGUUGUGAGGAAAAGUUAGUAGUUAAUACCUGCUAGCCGUGACGUUAACAACAGAAGAAGCACCGGCUAACUCCGUGCCAGCAGCCGCGGUAAUACGGAGGGUGCGAGCGUUAAUCGGAAUUACUGGGCGUAAAGCGCACGCAGGCGGUUUGUUAAGCUAGAUGUGAAAGCCCCGGGCUCAACCUGGGAUGGUCAUUUAGAACUGGCAGACUAGAGUCUUGGAGAGGGGAGUGGAAUUCCAGGUGUAGCGGUGAAAUGCGUAGAUAUCUGGAGGAACAUCAGUGGCGAAGGCGACUCCCUGGCCAAAGACUGACGCUCAUGUGCGAAAGUGUGGGUAGCGAACAGGAUUAGAUACCCUGGUAGUCCACACCGUAAACGCUGUCUACUAGCUGUGUGUGUCUUUAAGACGUGCGUAGCGAAGCUAACGCGCUAAGUAGACCGCCUGGGGAGUACGGCCGCAAGGUUAAACUCAAAUGAAUUGACGGGGGCCCGCACAGCGGUGGAGCAUGUGGUUUAAUUCGAUGCAACGCGAGACUUACCUACACUUGACAUGCUGAGAGUACUAGAGAUAGUUCGUGCUCGGACUCAGACAAGGUGCUGCAUGCUGUCGUCAGCUCGUGUCUGGAAUGUUGGGUAAGUCCCGCACGAGCGCACCUUGUCUUAGUUGCAGCUUAGUGGCACUCUAGGGAACUGCGGGACAACCGAAGAAGUGGACAACGUCAAGUCACAUAUGCCUUACUGUUAGGUACACUUCUCAUUGCAUUACAAGGGAGCGGACACGUGUAGUGAGAGAGCGAACCUUAAAAGUUC